AACGAACGCUGGCGGCAGGCUUAACACAUGCAAGUCGAGCGCCCCGCAAGGGGAGCGGCAGACGGGUGAGUAACGCGUGGGAAUCUACCCAUCUCUACGGAAUAACGCAUGGAAACGUGUGCUAAUACCGUAUACGUCCUUCGGGAGAAAGAUUUAUCGGAGAUGGAUGAGCCCGCGUUGGAUUAGCUAGUUGGUGGGGUAAAGGCCUACCAAGGCGACGAUCCAUAGCUGGUCUGAGAGGAUGAUCAGCCACACUGGGACUGAGACACGGCCCAGACUCCUACGGGAGGCAGCAGUGGGGAAUAUUGGACAAUGGGCGCAAGCCUGAUCUAGCCAUGCCGCGUGAGUGAUGAAGGCCCUAGGGUUGUAAAGCUCUUUCACCGGUGAAGAUAAUGACGGUAACCGGAGAAGAAGCCCCGGCUAACUUCGCGCCAGCCGCCGCGGUAACAC
rnacentral:rRNA from 1 species